rnacentral:rRNA from 1 species
CCCUUAGAUGUUCUGGGCCGCACACGCGCUACACUGAAGGAGGCAGCGUGUACUCCUGGAUCGAAAGAUUUGGGUAACCCGCGAAUCUCCUUCGUGCUGGGGAUUGAGGUUUGCAAUUAUCCUUCAUGAACGAGGAAUUCCCAGUAAGUGCGAGUCAUUAUCUCGCGCUGACUACGUCCCUGCCCUUUGUACACACCGCCCGUCGCUACUACCGAUUGAAUGAUUUAGUGAGGACUUCGGACUGAGUCCAAUGCGGCUUUCGGGCUGCGUUGGUAUUUCGGAAAGAUGUCCAAACUGUAUCAUUUAGAGGAAGUAAAAGUCGUANCA